rnacentral:misc_RNA from 1 species
UACGUAGGGGGCAAGCGUUGUCCGGAAUGAUUGGGCGUAAAGGGCGCGCAGGCGGUUCGGUAAGUCUGAUGUGAAAGUGCGGGGCUCAACCCCGUGAUGGCAUUGGAAACUGUCGGACUUGAGUGCAGGAGAGGGGAGUGGAAUUCCACGUGUAGCGGUGAAAUGCGUAGAGAUGUGGAGGAACACCCGUGGCGAAGGCGGCUCUCUGGCCUGUAACUGACGCUGAGGCGCGAAAGCGUGGGGAGCGAACAGG